UCUUCGGAGCUAGAGACCGGCGCACGGGUGCGUAACGCGUAUGCAAUCUACCUUUUACAGAGGGAUAGCCCAGAGAAAUUUGGAUUAAUACCUCAUAGUAUGUGAGAAUCGCAUGGUUUUCACAUUAAAGUCACAACGGUAAAAGAUGAGCAUGCGUCCCAUUAGCUUGUUGGUAAGGUAACGGCUUACCAAGGCAACGAUGGGUAGGGGUCCUGAGAGGGAGAUCCCCCACACUGGUACUGAGACACGGACCAGACUCCUACGGGAGGCAGCAGUGAGGAAUAUUGGACAAUGGGCGCAAGCCUGAUCCAGCCAUGCCGCGUGCAGGAUGACGGUCCUAUGGAUUGUAAACUGCUUUUGUACAGGAAGAAACACUCCCUCGUGAGGGAGCUUGACGGUACUGUAAGAAUAAGGAUCGGCUAACUCCGUGCCAGCAGCCGCGGUAAUACGGAGGAUCCAAGCGUUAUCCGGAAUCAUUGGGUUUAAAGGGUCCGUAGGCGGUUUAAUAAGUCAGUGGUGAAAGCCCAUCGCUCAACGGUGGAACGGCCAUUGAUACUGUUAAACUUGAAUUAUUAGGAAGUAACUAGAAUAUGUAGUGUAGCGGUGAAAUGCUUAGAGAUUACAUGGAAUACCAAUUGCGAAGGCAGGUUACUACUAAUGGAUUGACGCUGAUGGACGAAAGCGUGGGUAGCGAACAGGAUUAGAUACCCUGGUAGUCCACGCCGUAAACGAUGGAUACUAGCUGUUGGGAGCAAUCUCAGUGGCUAAGCGA
rnacentral:rRNA from 1 species